rnacentral:pre_miRNA from 1 species
GGGGGCAGGCCGGAUCAAGGGCUGUGUCCCGGCGCCCUGUGCUCCCGGUCUGUAUGUAGGAUUCGCGCUCCCACCCCACAGCCCCCU